rnacentral:rRNA from 1 species
ACUCCUACGGGAGGCAGCAGUGGGGAAUUUUGGACAAUGGGCGAAAGCCUGAUCCAGCAAUGCCGCGUGAGUGAAGAAGGCCUUCGGGUUGUAAAGCUCUUUUGUCAGGGAAGAAACGGUGAAAGCUAAUAUCUUUUGCUAAUGACGGUACCUGAAGAAUAAGCACCGGCUAACUACGUGCCAGCAGCCGCGGUAAUACGUAGGGUGCAAGCGUUAAUCGGAAUUACUGGGCGUAAAGCGUGCGCAGGCGGUUUUGUAAGUCUGAUGUGAAAUCCCCGGGCUCAACCUGGGAAUUGCAUUGGGGACUGCAAGGCUAGGAUCUGGCAGAGGGGGGUAGAAUUCCACGUGUAGCAGUGAAAUGCGUAGAUAUGUGGAGGAACACCGAUGGCGAAGGCAGCCCCCUGGGUCAAGAUUGACGCUCAUGCACGAAAGCGUGGGGAGCAAACAGGAUUAGAAACCCGAGUAGUCCCAUGAU